rnacentral:rRNA from 1 species
GACGAACGCUUGCGACGUGCCUAAGAAAUGCAAGUCGAACGGAUCAGCAGCAAUGCUGGUUAGUGGCGAACGGUCGCGUAACACGUGGGCAACCUGCCCUGAAGCGGGGGACAACAACUUGAAAGAGUUGCUAAUACCGCAUGUGAAUUGCUGUGGCAUCACAGAGGAUUCAAAGCCUUCGGGCACUUCAGGAUGGGCCCGCGGCCUAUCAGCUAGUUGGUGAGGUAACGGCCCACCAAGGCUUCGACGGGUAGCUGGUCUGAGAGGACGAUCAGCC